rnacentral:rRNA from 1 species
GAUGAACGCUGGCGGCGUGCCUAAUACAUGCAAGUCGAGCGAACAGAUAAGGAGCUUGCUCCUUUGAAGUUAGCGGCGGACGGGUGAGUAACACGUGGGUAACCUACCUAUAAGACUGGGAUAACUUCGGGAAACCGGAGCUAAUACCGGAUAACAUUUAGAACCGCAUGGUUCUAAAGUGAAAGAUGGUUUUGCUAUCACUUAUAGAUGGACCCGCGCCGUAUUAGCUAGUUGGUAAGGUAACGGCUUACCAAGGCGACGAUACGUAGCCGACCUGAGAGGGUGAUCGGCCACACUGGAACUGAGACACGGUCCAGACUCCUACGGGAGGCAGCAGUAGGGAAUCUUCCGCAAUGGGCGAAAGCCUGACGGAGCAACGCCGCGUGAGUGAUGAAGGGUUCGGCUCGUAAAACUCUGUUAUUAGGGAAGAACAAAUGUGUAAGUAACUGUGCACAUCUUGACGGUACCUAAUCAGAAAGCCACGGCUAACUACGUGCCAGCAGCCGCGGUAAUACGUAGGUGGCAAGCGUUAUCCGGAAUUAUUGGGCGUAAAGCGCGCGUAGGCGGUUUCUUAAGUCUGAUGUGAAAGCCCACGGCUCAACCGUGGAGGGUCAUUGGAAACUGGGAAACUUGAGUGCAGAAGAGGAAAGUGGAAUUCCAUGUGUAGCGGUGAAAUGCGCAGAGAUAUGGAGGAACACCAGUGGCGAAGGCGACUUUCUGGUCUGUAACUGACGCUGAUGUGCGAAAGCGUGGGGAUCAAACAGGAUUAGAUACCCUGGUAGUCCACGCCGUAAACGAUGAGUGCUAAGUGUUAGGGGGUUUCCGCCCCUUAGUGCUGCAGCUAACGCAUUAAGCACUCCGCCUGGGGAGUACGACCGCAAGGUUGAAACUCAAAGGAAUUGACGGGGACCCGCACGAGCGGUGGAGCAUGUGGUUUAAUUCGAAGCAACGCGAAGAACCUUACCAAAUCUUGACAUCCUUUGAAAACUCUAGAGAUAGAGCCUUCCCCUUCGGGGGACAAAGUGACAGGUGGUGCAUGGUUGUCGUCAGCUCGUGUCGUGAGAUGUUGGGUUAAGUCCCGCAACGAGCGCAACCCUUAAGCUUAGUUGCCAUCAUUAAGUUGGGCACUCUAGGUUGACUGCCGGUGACAAACCGGAGGAAGGUGGGGAUGACGUCAAAUCAUCAUGCCCCUUAUGAUUUGGGCUACACACGUGCUACAAUGGACAAUACAAAGGGCAGCUAAACCGCGAGGUCAUGCAAAUCCCAUAAAGUUGUUCUCAGUUCGGAUUGUAGUAUGCAACUCGACUACAUGAAGCUGGAAUCGCUAGUAAUCGUAGAUCAGCAUGCUACGGUGAAUACGUUCCCGGGUCU